UACGGGGGGUGCAAGCGUUGUUCGGAUUUAUUGGGCGUAAAGCGCGUGUAGGCGGUUUAUUAAGUCUGAUGUGAAAGCCCUGGGCUCAACCUGGGAAGUGCAUUGGAUACUGGUAGACUUGAAUACGGGAGAGGGAAGUGGAAUUCCUGGUGUAGGAGUGAAAUCCGUAGAUAUCAGGAGGAACACCGGUGGCGAAGGCGGCUUCCUGGACCGAUAUUGACGCUGAGACGCGAAAGCGUGGGUAGCAAACAGG
rnacentral:rRNA from 1 species